rnacentral:rRNA from 1 species
GACGAACGCUGGCGGCGUGCCUAAUACAUGCAAGUCGAACGCAGUGGGGACGGGUGAGUAACACGUGGGUAACCUCCCAUCAGACGGGAUAACACUUGGAAACAGGUGCUAAACCGAUACUGUUGGAUGUACCCGCGGUGCAUUAGCUAGUGGGUGAGGUAACGGCUCACCAAGGCCACGAUGCAUAGCUGACCUGAGAGGGUGAGCUGCCAAACUGGGACUGAGACACGGCCCAGACUCCUACGGGAGGCAGCAGUAGGGAAUCUUCGGCAAUGGACGAAAGUCUGACCGAGCAACGCCGCGUGAGUGAAGAAGGUUUUCGGAUCGUAAAGCUCUUUUGUUAGAGAAGCGGUAUCUAACCAGAAAGCCACGGCUAACUACGUGCCAGCAGCCGCGGUAAUAC